rnacentral:rRNA from 1 species
AGUGAACGCUGGCGGUAGGCCUACACAUGCCAGUCGCACGGCAGCACAGUAAGAGCUUGCUCUUACGGGUGGCGAGUGGCGGACGGGUGAGGAAUACAUCGGAAUCUACUUUUUCGUGGGGGAUAACGUAGGGAAACUUACGCUAAUACCGCAUACGACCUACGGGUGAAAGCAGGGGAUCUUCGGACCUUGCGCGAUUGAAUGAGCCGAUGUCGGAUUAGCUAGUUGGCGGGGUAAAGGCCCACCAAGGCGACGAUCCGUAGCUGGUCUGAGAGGAUGAUCAGCCACACUGGAACUGAGACACGGUCCAGACUCCUACGGGAGGCAGCAGUGGGGAAUAUUGGACAAUGGGCGCAAGCCUGAUCCAGCCAUACCGCGUGGGUGAAGAAGGCCUUCGGGUUGUAAAGCCCUUUUGUUGGGAAAGAAAAGCAGCAGGUUAAUACCCCGCUGUUCUGACGGUACCCAAAGAAUAAGCACCGGCUAACUUCGUG